rnacentral:siRNA from 1 species
UGAACUUUCAAAAAGACAUU